CACCUGCGCCGCUGAAUCAUGUGACGCGCAGGCCUGAUUCGAUUAGAUUUUAAUCGUCCGUGAAUGGUCUCGUAAUCGUCAUGCUAGCGCGAAUUUCUCUCUCACUGUCAGAUUUAUAAAUCCUGCUCACAAUCGGAGCCUAGCGAAUCUUCUAUUCACAAAACAAACCAAAAAAUUCGCAAAAGGUGCGGCUCGCGCCACACAAUUCGGUUGGCAGCCCUGCGGUUAUUGUGUUUUGUCAGUCGGUCGGUCCGCAAUGGUUGACAGAUUAGUGAACAGCGAGGCGAAUGCUCGGCGAAUCGCCAUGGUUGAAGGCUGCUUCGGCAGUUCUGGACAGCCGCUGGCCGUGCCGGGCCGGGUGCUCGUCGGAGAAGGCGUGCUGACCAAAAUGUGCCGAAAGAAGCCGAAAUCACGACAGUUUUUCCUCUUCAACGACAUUCUCGUCUACGGAAACAUCGUGAUUAAUAAGAAAAGGUACAAUAAGCAACACAUUAUUCCCCUGGAAGAGGUCAAACUGGAGUCUCUGGAGGACGAUUCUCAUUUCCGGAACGGCUGGCUGAUCAGGACGGCGACCAAAUCGUUCGCUGUGUACGCGGCCACGGCCACGGAAAAGCAGGAGUGGAUGGCCCACAUCAACAAGUGCAUCGAGGACCUGUUGCGCAAGAGCGGCAAGAAGGCUGUGGAGGUGCACGCCGCCGUGUGGGUGCCCGACUCGGAGGCCUCGGUCUGCAUGCACUGCAAACGAACCCAGUUUUCCAUGCUGAACAGAAGGCACCACUGCCGCAAGUGUGGUUCGGUGGUUUGCGGUCCGUGCUCGAACAAACGGUAUUUGCUGCCGAGCCAGUCGUCCAAGCCUCUGCGCGUGUGCCUCAACUGCUUCGACACGCUCUCGAAACAGAAGUCGGGCAGCGGCAGCACCCCCGACAAACUCGGGCUGAAAGAGAGGAGCGGCUCGGCGGAUUCGUCCGGCGAGGAGGACUCUUCGGGCGAGGAGGACAACGGCAGGCCGCAGGACGAUCCCGGACAGGAGAUAACGUGGCCUUACAACUUGUGAGCCGAGUUUGUUUAGAUUCUUGCUCGGUUCGUAAGAGACGAUGAGAAAUGAUGAAAAAGCCCAAGUUCUACGGCUAAGCAGUGCUGGCGGGUGUGUGUCGAUUGCGGAGAUGCACUAUUCCACUAUUGAUUGAAUGCAAACUCAUUACGUAGCCAGGAUUAAACCACAUUAUAUAUUAUAUAUUCUUUAUUAUAUCGUGUAGAUUCCGAUUUGAAACAAAAGAGAAUAAACCAUUACUUUUGCGUUGGCACAAAAUCACGAUGAUUAAGAAAAGGGGCAAGUUCAUGACGUGCGUGUGUUGGCUGCAAGCAAGACUCGAAAGCGGAAUCUCUAUUUUAUUUUAUUUCCGACUAGAUCGGAGUUGGAAGGCGACAAAGUCUAUUAUUCGUUUAGCCCGGGGAAAGAAGUGCCUUCUGUCUCGAUUGCUUCUGUUGUGUCGGCGAACGCUGUGAAUAAAUGUUGUGUUUUUUGUUGUCGGAGCACUCUCACUGUGUUUUUUAUUUUCCGAAACGAGCUAGUUGCACUGUUUACAGCUCAGAUGAUUAAUUUUUUGCUAUAUAGCGCUCCAUUCAAUAUUUCAAGAGAGGAAUUUGCAUAUCCACGUGUUUGUAUGAUUCAGUUAUUUUUAUAUGAAAUAAAAUUUAAAAUGAAACAAAAA